rnacentral:tRNA from 1 species
GGCCGGUUAGCUCAGUGGUUUGAGUGCGGUGCUGGCAUCAACACUCGAGGUUGCGGGUUCGAUUCCCGCUCGGUCC